ensembl:lncRNA
GGACUAUGACACCAGCUAAGAGGAGGCAUCAAGGCUAUGUCCGGGUGAACUGUCACCCGAGCGUGUAAAGGAUGGCGAUGUAAUUUUAUUUUACGGCGAGUAGCGGUGGCGCCAAUUGACCACGGACGCUAAAGCGGUUGGAUACACGGAACGUGUUUCACGUCCUUAACCAAUGAAAUGCCUUUGAUUUAUCGGAGCCAUGUAAGCGAUGCGGUGGCGUAAAUCACGACGGCGUGUGACGUCUCACUUGCCCCCCCCUCCCCCUGCAGAUGGCAAAUUUUACAAGGAAGACGAUCGAUGGCGGGCGUCUGCGGGGAAAGAUGUUCUCUCCGGACCGUCGGUUCUCUGUGUCCGGAAUGAUCCAGAUCUUGUUAGCUAAUGACACUAUGGACGGGCGGCUGACGGACGCGUGCCCCGGCGUCGUCUCUGGUUCAGUCUCAGAGCUCUCUCCUGACACGACGGCGGACGCACGACACACGCAUCAUAGCCGGAAAACCCUUUGGAGGAAUUAUACCUCGGACCGUGAAGAAUUGGCAAGUUGGAUUUUCUCCUGCUCCAACGUGACCCGCCCUGGUUUGAAACAAUUCCCUUAUUGUUUAACCUGAGUGUGGUGGCCUGUUUUCAUGCUGAAAUGUGCCUCGCUAGUUUAAGGCUGCGAUUGUUCUGUUGUACUUUGCGUGCAGCCAAAUGUUUAAAAUGUGGUUCUGCUCCCAGAUAAACAAAAACAAACAAA